CUCUAUAGAUUCGAGUCAUUUCCGCUUCCGGGGGCGAAGCUGCGACUUUGGCGCAGGGUGAGGGCGCUCCUUUCACAGAGGAAAAAAAAUCUUCAUUCACUGUGCUUGGGGAAAAAGAGAGCAUCCAUUUUGACAUCUCUCAAGGUCCUGCUCUCACUGGGAGAAAAGCAGGAUGUGGCAUGAAGCCAGAAAACAUGAGCGAAAGCUGCGGGGGAUGAUGGUGGAUUAUAAGAAAAGAGCAGAACGUCGGAGAGAGUAUUACGAAAAGAUA